GACGAACGCUGGCGGCGUGCCUAAUACAUGCAAGUAGAACGCUGAAGGAGGAGCUUGCUUCUCUGGAUGAGUUGCGAACGGGUGAGUAACGCGUAGGUAACCUGCCUGUUAGCGGAGGAUAACUAUUGGAAACGAUAGCUAAUACCGCAUAACAGUAGAUGUUGCAUGACAUUUGCUUAAUAUGUGCAAUUGCAUCACUACCAGAUGUACCUGCGUUGUAUUAGGUAGUUGGUGCGGUAACGGCUCACCAAGGCGACGAUACAGAGCCGACAGGAGAGGGUGGGUGGCCGGCCUGGGAGUGAGACAGGGCACAGACUGCCUGAGGAGGGGGCAGUAGUGCAUCUUGAGGAAUGGGUGGAAAUCUGAGCGAGAAAGGCCGAGUGCGGGCAGAGGGUCGUCGGGUCGUAAAGCUCGGCUGUCAGGGAAGAACGAGUGUGAGGGUGGAACGUUGAGAAAGUGACGGUACCUGAAGAGGAAGCAACGGCUAACUACGUG
rnacentral:rRNA from 1 species